UACGUAGGUGGCAAGCGUUGUCCGGAUUUACUGGGCGUAAAGAGCGCGCAGGCGGUCGUUCAAGUCGCGUGUGAAAGCCCCCGGCUCAACUGGGGAGGGUCACGCGAUACUGAUCGACUCGAAGGCAGGAGAGGGUAGUAAUUCCCGGUGUAGUGGUGAAAUGCGUAGAUAUCGGGAGGAACACCAGUGGCGAAGGCGACUACCUGGCCUGUUCUUGACGCUGAGGCGCGAAAGCUAGGGGAGCAAACGGG
rnacentral:rRNA from 1 species